UACGUAGGGGGCUAGCGUUGUCCGGAAUCAUUGGGCGUAAAGAGCGUGUAGGCGGUCCGGUAAGUCCGCUGUGAAAGUCGGGGGGCUCAACCCUCGAAUGCCGGUGGAUACUGUCGGGCUAGAGUGCGGAAGAGGCGAGUGGAAUUCCUGGUGUAGCGGUGAAAUGCGCAGAUAUCAGGAAGAACACCUAUGGCGAAGGCAGCACUCUGGGACGGUACUGACGCUGAGACGCGAAAGCGUGGGGAGCGAACAGG
rnacentral:rRNA from 1 species